GGGCGCUUAGCUCAGCGGGAGAGCGCUUCCUUGACAUGGAAGAGGUCACAGGUUCAAUCCCUGUAGCGCCCA
rnacentral:tRNA from 1 species